AAGACCGAGAGAAGAUGAAAUGAGGGGGAUAGGGGAAAAUUAAAAAAAGCUGACGAGUGGAGGCUGAUGAGAACAAGGUAAAAAAGGGGAAGGAAAAGAGAGAAAGGGUAAAGGAAACGACAUGGUUGCAUGGUGGUCGGACUGACGAAGGGGCAAAUGGUGACUGGUAGGUGGUGAGGGAGGGGACGACGGUGGCUAGGGUUGGG
rnacentral:lncRNA from 1 species